rnacentral:rRNA from 1 species
GACGAACGCUGGCGGCGUGCCUAAUACAUGCAAGUCGAGCGAAUCUUUUGGGAGCUUGCUCCCGAAAGAUUAGCGGCGGACGGGUGAGUAACACGUGGGCAACCUGCCUAUAAGACUGGGAUAACUUCGGGAAACCGGAGCUAAUACCGGAUACGUUCUUUUCUCGCAUGAGAGAAGAUGGAAAGACGGUCUCGGCUGUCACUUAUAGAUGGGCCCGCGGCGCAGUAGCUAGUUGGGGGGGUAAUGGCUCACCAAAGCGACGAUGCGUAGCCGACCUGAGAGGGUGAGCGGCCACACUGGGCAUGAGACACGGCCCAGACUCCUACGGGAGGCAGCAGUAGGGAAUCUUCCGCAAUGGACGAAAGUCUGACGGAGCAACGCCGCGUGAACGAAGAAGGCCUCCGGGUCGUAAAGUUCUGUUGUUAGGGAAGAACAAGUACCAGAGUAACUGCUGGUACCUUGACGGUACCUAACCAGAAAGCCACGGCUAACUACGUGCCAGCCGCCGCAGUAAUAC